AUUGAACGCUGGCGGCAUGCUUUACACAUGCAAGUCGAACGGUAACAGGGUGCUUGCACCGCUGACGAGUGGCGAACGGGUGGGUAAUGCGUCGGAACGUGCCGAGUAGUGGGGGAUAACGCAUCGAAAGGUGUGCUAAUACCGCAUACGUACUGAGGUAGAAAGUGGGGGACCUUCGGGCCUCACGCUAUUCGAGCGGCCGACGUCUGAUUAGCUAGUUGGUGAGGUAAAGGCUCACCAAGGCGACGAUCAGUAGCGGGUCUGAGAGGAUGUUCCGCCCCGCGGGGACUGAGACACGGACCAUACUCCGACGGGAGGCAGCAGUGGGGAAUUUUGGACAAUGGGCGCAAGCCUGAUCCAGCCAUGCCGCGUGUCUGAAGAAGGCCUUUGGGUUGUAAAGGACUUUUGGCCGGGAGCAAAUACCCAGUGCUAAUAACACGGGGGGCUGAGAGUACCGGAAGAAUAAGCACCGGCUAACUACGUGCCAGCCGCCGCUGUAAUAC
rnacentral:rRNA from 1 species